CGAGUUUUAAUUGUUAGGUUAGAGUUGAGCUGGUUAAUCUAAUUAAUAUGUGCUUACUCUAAUCGAAACAAGUCCACUCAUUACUUAACGCUUGUGAACUUAUUCAUUACAAACAUUAUUAUUUGUUAUUGGAACGUUUGAUUAUUAAAAAGUUAAUA
rnacentral:misc_RNA from 1 species